CAAAGUGUAGCUUAAACAAAAGCACCUGGCUUACACCCAGAAGAUUUCAUUAAAAAUGACCACUUUGA
rnacentral:tRNA from 2 species